UAGAGUUUGAUCCUGGCUCAGGAUGAACGCUAGCUACAGGCUUAACACAUGCAAGUCGAGGGGCAGCAUGGUCUUAGCUUGCUAAGGCCGAUGGCGACCGGCGCACGGGUGAGUAACACGUAUCCAACCUGCCGUCUACUCUUGGACAGCCUUCUGAAAGGAAGAUUAAUACAAGAUGGCAUCAUGAGUCCACAUGUUCACAUGAUUAAAGGUAUUCCGGUAGACGAUGGGGAUGCGUUCCAUUAGAUAGUAGGCGGGGUAACGGCCCACCUAGUCUUCGAUGGAUAGGGGUUCUGAGAGGAAGGUCCCCCACAUUGGAACUGAGACACGGUCCAAACUCCUACGGGAGGCAGCAGUGAGGAAUAUUGGUCAAUGGGCGAGAGCCUGAACCAGCCAAGUAGCGUGAAGGAUGACUGCCCUAUGGGUUGUAAACUUCUUUUAUAAAGGAAUAAAGUCGGGUAUGCAUACCCGUUUGCAUGUACUUUAUGAAUAAGGAUCGGCUAACUCCGUGCCAGCAGCCGCGGUAAUACGGAGGAUCCGAGCGUUAUCCGGAUUUAUUGGGUUUAAAGGGAGCGUAGAUGGAUGUUUAAGUCAGUUGUGAAAGUUUGCGGCUCAACCGUAAAAUUGCAGUUGAUACUGGAUGUCUUGAGUACAGUUGAGGCAGGCGGAAUUCGUGGUGUAGCGGUGAAAUGCUUAGAUAUCACGAAGAACUCCGAUUGCGAAGGCAGCCUGCUAAGCUGCAACUGACAUUGAGGCUCGAAAGUGUGGGUAUCAAACAGGAUUAGAUACCCUGGUAGUCCACACGGUAAACGAUGAAUACUCGCUGUUUGCGAUAUACUGCAAGCGGCCAAGCGAAAGCGUUAAGUAUUCCACCUGGGGAGUACGCCGGCAACGGUGAAACUCAAAGGAAUUGACGGGGGCCCGCACAAGCGGAGGAACAUGUGGUUUAACUCGAUGAUACGCGAGGAACCUUACCCGGGCUUAAAUUGCAGAUGAAUUACGGUGAAAGCCGUAAGCCGCAAGGCAUCUGUGAAGGUGCUGCAUGGUUGUCGUCAGCUCGUGCCGUGAGGUGUCGGCUUAAGUGCCAUAACGAGCGCAACCCUUGUUGUCAGUUACUAACAGGUUCUGCUGAGGACUCUGACAAGACUGCCAUCGUAAGAUGUGAGGAAGGUGGGGAUGACGUCAAAUCAGCACGGCCCUUACGUCCGGGACUACACACGUGUUACAAUGGGGGGUACAGAGGGCCGCUACCACGCGAGUGGAUGCCAAUCCCAAAAACCUCUCUCAGUUCGGACUGGAGUCUGCAACCCGACUCCACGAAGCUGGAUUCGCUAGUAAUCGCGCAUCAGCCACGGCGCGGUGAAUACGUUCCCGGGCCUUGUACACACCGCCCGUCAAGCCAUGGGAGCCGGGGGUACCUGAAGUGCGUAACCGCGAGGAGCGCCCUAGGGUAAAACUGGUGACUGGGGCUAAGUCGUAACAAGGUAACCG
rnacentral:rRNA from 1 species